AGAGCUAUAGCUCAGUGGCAGAGUACAUGCUUUGCACACAGAAAGUCUUGGGUUCAAUUCCUGGCAUCUUCA